AUUGAACGCUGGCGGCAGGCCUAACACAUGCAAGUCGAGCGAGUGGCGGACGGGUGAGUAAUGUCUGGGGAACUGCCUGAUGGAGGGGGAUAACUACUGGAAACGGUAGCUAAUACCGCAUACUAUCGGAUGUACCCAUAUGGGAUUAGCUAGUAGGUGGGGUAAAGGCGCACCUAGGCGACGAUCCCUAGCUGGUCUGAGAGGAUGACCAGCCACACUGGAACUGAGACACGGCCCAGACUCCUACGGGAGGCAGCAGUGGGGAAUAUUGCACAAUGGGCUCAAGCCUGAUGCAGCCAUGCCGCGUGUAUGAAGAAGGCCUUAGGGUUGUAAAGGACUUUCAGCGGGGAGGCGUUACCCGCAGAAGAAGCACCGGCUAACUCCGUGCCAGCCGCCGCGGUAAUUC
rnacentral:rRNA from 1 species